rnacentral:tRNA from 1 species
AGUAUCACGCCGGAAGAACGGACUACCCUGAUGAGGCAGAACAUAGGCCUGUGCCUUGAUACUU